CCCUUAGAUGUUCUGGGCCGCACGCGCGCUACACUGAUGCAUUCAACGAGCCUAUCCUUGACCGACAGGUCCGGGUAAUCUUUGAAUCUGCAUCGUGACGGGGAUAGAUUAUUGCAAUUAUUAAUCUUGAACGAGGAAUUCCUAGUAAAUGCAGAUCAUCAUUCUGCGUUGAUUACGUCCCUGCCCUUUGUACACACCGCCCGUCGCACCUACCGAUUGAAUGAUCCGGUGAAGCCUCGGGAUUGUGCCCAGAGAACUUUAUUGUGAUUUGGGUGUGAGAACUUGUCUAAACCCUAUCAUUUAGAGGAAGGUGAAGUCGUAACA
rnacentral:rRNA from 1 species